rnacentral:lncRNA from 1 species
GAACGAAUUCGGGUCCUGAGCGAGUCAUGAUUUGUGUACACAGAGUUGACAGUUAACCUUUGAGUUAGCUUGUCAUCGUGUUUGAGAAAGAGGCCUACUUCUCAACACUUAAAGUUAUAUGAUGCGUAGAUAUGGUACAUACAUGUUAUUUGUCUGCUGACGUAUAUGAUGUUAUGACGAUUAUAGAGAAGUUUUACAGUUUUGCAUGCACAGGUUAUUUAAAUAAAACUCCUGUGUGAUGUUUGAGAUGGCAAGUUCAAUAUAUAGCUCUAAGAGCAAGCUUUAAAGUUAUUUCGGCAUGACCACUGAGUGCUUUUUGGUACUCAGCCCUGCGUAUGUUUCUAAAUAUGCAGGUUAAGCUGUGAUGCAGAUGGUAGCAAGCAGAGCAAAGUCUUUGAUGUAUAUGUAUUAAACCAGGCUCAGGAUUCCAUGUCUUCAUACAUGUAAUCCACAUGAAUUAUUCCGCUGCAACACUCAGUCUAUUCUACUUUAUUGAUGUGUUGUACAUAUUUUAAAUCAAUAACGUUGAGAAUUAUGUCACUUG